rnacentral:rRNA from 1 species
CAAGUCUUCCAGUAUGGGGAGCAAAACAGCUAUGGGUCAAGUCCGAUAUCUUUAGGAGAAGUCUUAUUGUGAGGGCGAGUUAUAUAACACCAUAGGACUGGCCGUCCCAUAUGAAAAGAUUAUAUUAGAAUUGAAUGAAGCUUUGUUUAUAUAUUGAUAAUGACAGUAUAUAUAUCGUGUCUUGACUAAUUGCGUGCCAGCAGUCGCGGUAAUACGUAAGAGACUAGUGUUAUUCAUCUUAAUUAGGUUUAAAGGGUACCCAGACGGUCAAUAUAGCUUAUAAAAUGUUAGUACUUGACUAGAGUUUUAUGUAAGAGGGCAGUACUUGAGGAGGAGAGAUGAAAUUUCGUGAUACCAAAGGGACUCUGUAAAGGCGAAGGCAGCCCUCUAUGUAAAAACUGACGUUGAAGGACGAAGGCACAGAGAACAAACAGGAUUAGAUACCCAAGUAGUCUUUGCAGUAAAUGAUGAAUGCCAUAGGUUAGAUUGAUCAAUUAUAGUCUAGGGUUAGUCUAGCAAACUAAUGCCCUAUGAUAUAAUUCAAAAUAUCUGGUCUAUAAAUGAAAGUGUAAGCAUUUCACCUCAAGAGUAAUGUGGCAACGCAGGAACUGAAAUCACUAGACCGUUUCUGACACCAGUAGUGAAGUAUGUUAUUUAAUUCGA